AUUAAAGUUGUUGCAGUUAAAAAGCUCGUAGUUGAACCUUGGGCCUGACCGGCCGGUCCGCCUCACCGCGUGCACUGGUUCGGUCGGGCCUUUCCAUCUGGGGAACCCUAUGCCCUUCACUGGGUGUAGUGGGGAACCAGAACUUUUACUGUGAAAAAAUUAGAGUGUUCAAAGCAGGCCUAUGCUCGAAUACAUCAGCAUGGAAUAAUAGAAUAGGACGUGUGGUUCUAUUUUGUUGGUUUCUAGGACCGCCGUAAUGAUUAAUAGGGACAGUCGGGGGCAUCAGUAUUCAAUUGUCAGAGGUGAAAUUCUUGGAUUUAUUGAAGACUAACUACUGCGAAAGCAUUUGCCAAGGAUGUUUUCAUUAAUCAGGAACGAAAGUUAGGGGAUCGAAGACGAUCAGAUACCGUCGUAGUCUUAACCAUAAACUAUGCCGACUAGGAU
rnacentral:rRNA from 1 species